GGAUAGCCUAGUCGGUAGAGCAUGAGACUCUUACUCUCAUGCUCAGGGUCAUGGGUUUGAGCCUCACGUUGGGCA